GAGCAUAGUGGACAAGGUAUCAGUCUGAAACUAGAGUAGGGUGGACAAGGUAUCAGUCUGAAACUAGAGCAUAGUGGACAAGGUAUCAGUCUGAAACUAGAGCAUAGUGGACAAGGUAUCAGUCUGAAACUAGAGCAUGGUGGACAAGGUAUCAGUCUGAAACUAGAGUAGGGUGGACAAGGUAUCAGUCUGAAACUAGAGCAUAGUGGACAAGGUAUCAGUCUGAAACUAGAGUAGGGUGGACAAGGUAUCAGUCUGAAACUAGAGUAGGGUGGACAAGGUAUCAGUCUGAAACUAGAGUAGGGUGGACAAGGUAUCAGUCUGAAACUAGAGUAGGGUGGACAAGGUAUCAGUCUGAAACUAGAGUAGGGUGGACAAGGUAUCAGUCUGAAACUAGAGUAGGGUGGACAAGGUAUCAGUCUGAAACUAGAGUAGGGUGGACAAGGUAUCAGUCUGAAACUAGAGUAGGGUGGACAAGGUAUCAGUCUGAAACUAGAGUAGGGUGGACAAGGUAUCCGUCUGAAACUAGAGUAGGGUGGACAAGGUAUCAGUCUGAAAUUAGAGUAGGGUGGUGGCAUAUCCAGGUUUACCUCGUCAGUGUCUCACACACACAGGGUGAGGUAAAGUAGUGGAGGUGUCCAGGUGUAAAGGUUUACUAAAUCAGUGUCUCACACAGGGUGAGGUAAAGUAGUGGAGGUGUCCAGGUGUAAAGGUUUACCUCAUCAGUGUCGAACUCACACAGCGCCUCGACGGGGAGCAGCUUCUGAGGGGUGUUCCUGCGGAACUGGAGGGGGAGAACCUGUAGACUGCGCUUCUCCAGAGCCUUCACACGCUCAUCAAAGUGGUCCAUGGCCUUCGCCUGGUCCUGCACCACACACACACACACAUUUUUUUAAAGAGCAUUUUGGAUUUAUAGUUCUAAGGCUAAUACGUUUGUCAAAAUGUAAAUGUUCUUGAUUGAGUUAUGAGUUUAGAAACCAGCCUGAUAAGCAGACAGAACUGACAGACCAAAGAAUUGUCUCUGCUAUAUCCAACAGCUUGUCAUUGUUUGACUGAAGCAGAAACAGAUCUGCCCCUGAGACUUGUAGUAAACUACAGUAGUGUAGAGCCCACUGUUAGUAAACUACGGUAGUGUAA
ensembl:lncRNA